GAAGUGUUGGCUCUGAAUGUUCACUGAAACGCUGCAGGAAGAGAGAGGGGGCUGCACAAGUUUCCUCCUGAGCUGAGCUGAGCGGUGAGGAGCCGUGAGGAGAUGUGGAUCGUCAUCAAAGUGCACUUCUCCCAUUGAGUGAGCCAUCCACUGUAGGCUACACUUUUCAGAAGUCAGGAAGCCUAUGUUUGCUCCAGGGAUUACAUUACCACACCAGAGGCCUUGCCAGACAGACCCAUGGACAGACACACUGCAUCACCACCUAAGGAGAGGAGGUCAGCCAGGGAGAGGCCCACAGCUGCGGCUUCGAGGUCCCAGUGUGUUUAUUUGGGCAAGCCCAACCAAAAUAAGCUCCAGCCAGGCAUUGCUCCUGAGGACUGGGGCCACCACCGCUGCGGUGCUUUUCAUCCUAACAAUGGGGAAAGUGCUCCGGCCGAGGAGGGAGCCACACAGCGCAGUUUACCGUAGAACAGCUGCCUCAUCUGUGGGGGAGGAAGUGCACUGCAGAUGUGGACAGGAUAGAUGGUUCAUGUUCCCACACCUACUCCUGUUGUACAGUUGUUCACCCAUGCUCAGCGGUCAGUGAAUGAGUUCCUUUGUUUAACAUGAGAAAGUUUGCCUGCCGAGUGGAAACGCCACAGGGUGGAGAUCCAGAAUGAGUACGGUGUUUGAUAUUUACUUGGAAUAUAUAGGCUGCAUAAUCUGAAGAAAUGUGUUCAAUGUCAAAAUAAUUCAGAUAUGAUCUUCAUAUGGUUUUGGUUCUUCAUAUGUUUUUUUUAGCUAGCAGACACAUCUUGUCAUGGCCCUCUUGAUGUACUGUAAUGCUUAAGGUUGCAAUGCUGUGACUGUUUGUGUGAGUUAAACCCAUUUGCCUUGUCUCUUUUUAUUGGGAGUCAGCAGACCUUCGUGUGUGAUUAGAGAAUAAAGAGAUUUAAGUUAAACAAAGUAACUGUUUCUGCUGAGUCUAAUUAUAGGUGUUACUUUUCACUGUGUUAAUAGCUGGUGUAAUAUAAGCCAAAUUUGGAAGGGCCAUAAAAUGCAUAAGAUCACAACAAUGCCUUUGAUUCACUGACCUUUUGUGCUAUCACUCAGGUGAUCUAUACUGGGGGUCAACAGCCGUUUUAUAUGCAGAAUAACAACAUCCCCAUCCUGCUUUACUCAUCACACUGUCAUGCAUUGACCCCCCCUAUUAAAAGGGUCACCCAGCCCUAAGCAAAGGUGAACAGGUGUGCCUCAGGGCUUGCGAGGCUGGAUGACUGACAGCUGCCCGCCCACCACCCCCUCGAGCCACAAGUCAGUCCUUUCUGCCCUGGCUGCCUCCUCUCUGCUACAGCUCCGCUCAUCUGUUACUGGCCGUAAAGUCGACAGAUGAUUAGUUGUCCUGCUUAUCUUGUUCGCCCCACCCAUCCCACCCGCUUCGUCAAUGCUGUGGAAGUCACCAUCUAGCUGUUUAUCUGUAGUUUGCCCUGUUUCAUACCAAGCCCAUGCCCAAGGCCUUACCUUACCUUACCUUAACAUACCUCCUCCUUUUGACCUCUACAUAACCUCUA